rnacentral:rRNA from 1 species
AGAGUUUGAUCCUGGCUCAGGACGAACGCUGGCGGCGUGCUUAACACAUGCAAGUCGAGCGGUAAGGCCCUUCGGGGUACACGAGCGGCGAACGGGUGAGUAACACGUGGGUGAUCUGCCUCGUACUCUGGGAUAAGCCUGGGAAACUGGGUCUAAUACCGGAUAUGACUACUGCCUGCAUGGGUGGUGGUGGAAAGAUU